rnacentral:rRNA from 1 species
GACGAACGCUGGCGGCGUGCUUAACACAUGCAAGUCGAACGAAAAGGCCCUGCUUUUGUGGGGUGCUCGAGUGGCGAACGGGUGAGUAACACGUGAGUAACCUGCCCUUGACUUUGGGAUAACUUCAGGAAACUGGGGCUAAUACCGGAUAGGAGCUCCUGCUGCAUGGUGGGGGUUGGAAAGUUUCGGCGGUUGGGGAUGGACUCGCGGCUUAUCAGCUUGUUGGUGGGGGAGUGGCUUACCAAGGCUUUGACGGGUAGGCGGCAUGAGAGGGUGACCGGCCACAUGGGUACCGAGAUACGGACCAGUACCCUAAGGGGGGCAGCAGUGGGGAAAGGUGGAAAAGGGCAGGAACCCUGAUCCAGCAAGGUCGCGGGCGGGAGAACGGCCUGCUGGUUGUAAUCCGCUUUCGCCUGUUACGAAGCGUGAGUGACGUUAACGGGUAAAGAAGCACCGGCUAACUACGUG